AGGUUUAUGUAUUUACCUCUGGCUGGAGCGCAGGGCUAUCAUCGGACCCCUGACACCGCCGCGUUUAGUUUUUCCAUCUGUCAUCAUUUAAUUUGGCAGUUAACGUCGCUGAAUGAAGACUAAUCUUUUCCUAUCGCUGCAUUUCGCUCCACGCUGCCAUUUAGAAAUGUAAAUAGAUGACAUUAGAUUUGUAAAUCUGCCCUGCUGACGGGGAUAGCACCUGGGUACUGGUCUUAGUUUUCGGCUGAGGAACACUGCGGCCUCUUUACUGUCUGGCUGUUAAAAAUACAUUGAGAAUUGGACUUCUCCCCCCAUCUCCUGGAUUAUCAUUACUUAAUUUAAUUAUCUAGGUUAAGAAAAAAACAACACCCAAAACAACAAAACCCACCCAGGUUCUCGUUCAAGAGAAUUAAUAACGGCUCUUAGUGCAGGAAAGAUUACUGGAAUCAAUGAUGUGAUUAGGGUUGUAAAUAAGAAGUAAAAGAUGUCACCAGUAGAGAAAGCCCGCUUUGCUCACAGGGAGAUGUGUAUGUUUUACUGAUAGGGCCAUAGGAUGAAAAUCCUGCUUCAAACAGAGGUCGAUACAGAACAAUUUCAGAAAUUAACUAAGAGGCCUGAUUAAGGUUAUUUGUGUCAGAGGGAAAGGUUCACUGCCACCACUCCCUCAAUGGAUUUCUCUCUUAAUUGCCAAUGAGGAGACAAAACAGGAAGGCUAGACCAUUUGGCUAAUCAAUAAAAAAAAGCCUGCCUUCAUGUUUGCCUGAGGAGCACUCCUUGGGUCAGAUCGAUGUCGCAGCCACCAAAGUUCUUGCAGAGGUCACCAGUGAUCAAGACAUUUUCUGAUGGCUUUUAAACAACGCUGGAGCCAAGCAUCUGCCGUGAGGUUGCAAAUGUAAGCAGAACUGGAGAUAUGAUGUUAAUCAUCAUCCUCGUGUUUAUGGGAGGACUCCUGGUGAUAAAAACAACUCGUCGUAUUUAUGACCUUAGACAGCUGUUUUAAUAAAUGAAGAUGAAGUGUUACUUCA